UCCGUUUUGUCAACGGCAGUCUCAAUAGAGUGCCCGGCCGAACCGGUGGCAACUAUUGAUAAGGGUUGCGCUCGUUGCGGGACUUAACCCAACAUCUCACGACACGAGCUGACGACAGCCAUGCAGCACCUUGCACUCUGCCAGGUUUUACCCUGGAGGCCCCGUCUCUGGGGUUGUCAGAGGCAUUCUAGCCCAGGUAAGGUUCUUCGCGUUGCGUCGAAUUAAACCACAUGCUCCACCGCUUGUGCGGGUCCCCGUCAAUUCCUUUGAGUUUUAGCCUUGCGACCGUACUCCCCAGGCGGAGUGCUUAAUGUGUUGACUUCGGCACAGCAGGGGUCGAUACCCGCUACACCAAGCACUCAUCGUUUACGGCGUGGACUAC
rnacentral:misc_RNA from 1 species